rnacentral:tRNA from 1 species
GGCGGAAUUGGUAGACGCGCUGGCUUCAGGUGCCAGUGACCGCGAGGUCGUGGAGGUUCGAGUCCUCUCCUGGGCACCA